GUACCCUCAAGCUUUGCUUGGUGUUGGGCGUUUUGUCUUUUUCCUUUAGUGAUUAGACUCGCCUUAAAGUAAUUGGCAGCCAGUGUUUUUUGGUAGUAAGCGCAGCACAUUUUGCGUCUUAGUCCUUAAACAGCGGCAACCAUAAAGCCUCUUUCUCAC
rnacentral:misc_RNA from 2 species